UCUCGUCCUCCCACUCCCGGGAAAGGGGAGGCGGGGAGCCGGGCCGGCGCUAGGGCCCAUGGAAUUCCAGAAAGAGCAGCGACCACAGGUGCCUGACAUUCCUGGUUACCCAUUCCAGAGCCGCUGCAUUACCCUGAUUAAGUGAAUUAAUCCGGUGCUGCUUUCUAAGGGGUAUUUUCUCACCCACUCACCCCCUGAAGCUAAAACAAAGCAAAGGCUUUCUGGUGCGGCAGGAGGGGGACCCAUGAUGAGGCCGGCGUGAGUCCAAGUGGUGUCCUAUGAGAGACAGAUGGUGUGUGACAGUAUGGAGCUAAUGGAGAAAACAACCCUUCAAGCUACAGGGGGGGGCUCUCUUUCAAGCCCCCCCCCUUUUAGGGCUGGGAAUAGAACCUGGAAGCCACAGCCGAAGCAUUAAGUAAUGUCUCCAUCUACACUGAAGCGAUUAGCCAGCGGCUUACCCUGUUGAGGCCUCCUGGUGGCAUUGUCGGUAGGCUGCAGGCUUGGAGAGGACGGGGCACUCGUUCCCAUGGCGUCCGGUGACCUUGUGCAUGCACUGCACCACGCGGGACUGAAGCCCUUUGCCACAUGUUGAGGAGCACUACGGAAGAGGAGAUACUUUGGUGAAUCACAAGGGAGAAGCUCAGGCUGUGAGAGAACAGAAGACGUUAUGUACCAACGAUGCUGUGUCAAUAUGAGCUCUUACAAGCAGCCAUUCCGUUAUACUUUCCUGUGUCCUGUCCUUGAUAGGAUGCUUAUAUUAAGCUUUUUGUAGCAUAAUUUGGCGAGACGCUCCAAAAAAAGAGAGAACAAAAUAUUUAAAAGGAUUCCCACCCACCCCUAAUCAUAUAAUAUCCGUAUCAGCUCAUUCCACCUUCUUUGUUUCAAUGUGGAAGAGAAAUAUAAGGUCUCCUGUUACUCUACUGAUGCCUACAUUAAUAAUCUGGAAUCCAGUAUAUUGCCCCUUUAAAAAGCUGUUGGUAGGUCAUGUGGUUUUGAAGUCGGAACUGGUUGUUAAACAUGUUCUCCAGCUUCUGUGCUUUACUCUUCAUCCUUGAGAGGGCGUAUACAAAAACCUGUAAUAAGAUAUUCCCUGCCUUAGGCUAACUUUCUAGAAUUCAGAAUGACACAAAAGGAAGUGAGUGACAUGGGAGGAGAAAACAUGAUAGCCAUGGCCCCAGUUCUAAACUAGCAUCACCAUCUCCACUAUCACCUUCUCCCUCAAUCUCCCUAUUCCUCUUCUCUGUAACUUGCAAAAACAGACGUAUGCACAUUUGUUGACUUGCAAGCUGUUCUUACAGGUUUACUGAAUUCAGAAAUUCUAGAUACACAAUUUGGAUUUUUAAAAAAGAUGCUGGAGGAUUACAGACUGUAGCAUGUUGUUUGAUGGGUGCAAGUAUGUUUCCAGUCCUGUUGGAUGUUUAGCACUGCCCAAGUUAUAGAUUUCUCACAUAAGUGCAAUCAGAGGAGUACAGAGUAGUUGCUGAAGUCGACAAGGUUUCUGAGAUUACUGAUAAAAGCAAAAUAGAAAUACAAAGUAAAAAAAAAAUAUAUAUGUGGUGGCACCUGAUGCCAGCUUUUACAAACAAGUCCACUUCAUCAGUCCACAAGAGACUUUCUGAGAGUUUAGCAUGAUCCCGGCUUUAGCACGUGCCACAAAACAAGGGCCAGAAGACCUCUGUGGGGAGGAUUGAGAUCCAUAGUUCUCUCUCUCUCUUUUUAAAAAGGAAAUUCUUGUCAGAAUGAUGCACAAAAAGUGGCCAGCCCUUUACAAAUUAAAGUUGCUGUCAUACUGGCUGUAUUCCAGCUGCUGCUGCUGCUACUUGCUCCAGAUGUGAACUGCAGUUGUAUGCACUCUGGCCCUAAAUCCAGCAGGUAGAAUAAACCUGUUGAAUAGGUAGGAUUUCCAUAAGCACUGAGAUUAUUUUUAGCAGAUAAUUUCCUAGGUCUACUUUAACUGGGAGUAGCAAUUACAUUGAGGAAAAAUUAAGAGUUAAUAAUAAGACCCUGUUACCUUUUGCUUGACACACACAUUCAUGAUUUUAUAUCCUGUUUUGUAUAUGCAUCUUAUUGUUGCCAUUUUUUAAAUUGCCAGGUCUUUCUCCAUACUCAUACCUAUUUCUGUGGGGUCCCUUCAGCACAAGUGGAAGGGCUCGGUGUUCAGUAAUUGCUCAGGCAUUCUCAUAGUAAUUUCCAACUUCAGAUGGGGCUCACAAACUUUCAUACACAUUCACAUGUGCAAAAAUUAUUUCCCCGUGUGCAGCCAAACACAGUCUCACAAAUAUGAACUCUUCUGUCUCUUGGCUGGUAUGUCUUCUUUUUUCCCCCCUUUUCAGAAGAACUUUGCCACAUUUAUGGAUAUGCACAAAUUAAAACGGAUGUUUGUCUGCUUGGAUAACAAGAUGUAUUUACAUUGGGCCUUUUAAUUAUAAAUGCUUACCUUG